ACGAUGAGUUUGAUCGUGGCUCAGGACGAACGCUGGCGGCGUGCCUAAUACAUGCAAGUCGAGCGCGGGAAGCAAGCUGAUCCUCUUCGGAGGUGACGCUUGUGGAACGAGCGGCGGACGGGUGAGUAACACGUGGGCAACCUGCCUGUAAGACUGGGAUAACCCCGGGAAACCGGGGCUAAUACCGGAUAAUACUUUUCAUCACCUGAUGAGAAGUUGAAAGGUGGCUUUUAGCUACCACUUACAGAUGGGCCCGCGGCGCAUUAGCUAGUUGGUGAGGUAACGGCUCACCAAGGCAACGAUGCGUAGCCGACCUGAGAGGGUGAUCGGCCACACUGGGACUGAGACACGGCCCAGACUCCUACGGGAGGCAGCAGUAGGGAAUCUUCCGCAAUGGACGAAAGUCUGACGGAGCAACGCCGCGUGAGUGAUGAAGGUUUUCGGAUCGUAAAGCUCUGUUGUUAGGGAAGAACAAGUGCCGUUCGAAUAGGGCGGCAC
rnacentral:rRNA from 1 species